GAGAAUAUCAUAACAAAUCCAGGAUUGUUAACAACUUAUUAGAGAUCCAAUAACAAAAUAAAUAACAUAUAAAAUCAAUCAUACUAAAACAAAAACACAAGGAAUUGAAAAUCUUCAUACUUGCACUCUAGACAAACCACCUGAUUCAAAUAAAGUAAUCCAGCCUUCAUCAGCAUCUGAGUCAAAAUCUUGUCUUUGAACAUGUCUCUUCUUCAAAUACUUCAUCUUUGUUACACAUUUCCUCCC
rnacentral:lncRNA from 1 species